AUCGCUUCUCGGCCUUUUGGCUAAGAUCAAGUGUAGUAUCUGUUCUUAUCAGUUUAAUUCAUAAACACAGGCCUGGUACCAACCACAGGCUGAAGGUGAAACCAGCAUUUUCUUCAUGCUACCGACAGACCUCUCUCCCUUGCUGAGAGAUGGGCAGCAAAGCUGGCAGCUCUCUGGAUCCUGCCCACCUCUC